rnacentral:rRNA from 1 species
AACGUGCCCAGUUGUGGGGGAUAACUGCUCGAAAGAGCAGCUAAUACCGCAUACGACCUGAGGGUGAAAGCGGGGGAUCGCAAGACCUCGCGCAAUUGGAGCGGCCGAUAUCAGAUUAGGUAGUUGGUGGGGUAAAGGCUCACCAAGCCAACGAUCUGUAGCUGGUCUGAGAGGACGACCAGCCACACUGGGACUGAGACACGGCCCAGACUCCUACGGGAGGCAGCAGUGGGGAAUUUUGGACAAUGGACGCAAGUCUGAUCCAGCCAUGCCGCGUGCGGGAAGAAGGCCUUCGGGUUGUAAACCGCUUUUGUCAGGGAAGAGACGCUCUGGGCUAAUACCCUGNGGUAAUGACGGUACCUGAAGAAUAAGCACCGGCUAACUACGUGCCAGCAGCCGCGGUAAUACGUAGGGUGCAAGCGU